rnacentral:lncRNA from 1 species
AAAUCAAAUUUAAACCUUGUUUUCUCACCCAAUGGUUGGUGUCAGCACAACAGAGCUAAGAUUUGACAUUUACUUGGUUUAUUCUAGUUCAUUAACUCUGAUCACUGAAAUCACACUUCUGCUGUGGACCCGUUUUUGUGGGGAGUACCAAGAUCAUAAGGCGCAUAAACCAACCUCUUGUUAAGCCAACACCUCCGUCUCCUGCAGAGGCGCUCCGCAAUGGGGAAAUCUACAGGUCAGCAGGAAAGCAAAAGAGACUGCGCCCUACAGAACCUUGCAGCGCAGAUGAAGGCACUCCCUAAAGUUGUGGGCUGUGAGCUGCCACCUACUCGGGAUUUGCUGGUGAUAGACGGACAUGGAUCUACUCUGCAGCUUGCAUUAUUACACGCCAAGUGUGUGUUUCACUGUUUGAUAAUGGAAGGGAGCAAACUCAAUACUUGGUGGAGAAAACGUUGGCUGCAAUACAUCUGAAUCUGAACUGUGAUAAAGAAAAAUAACGUGACAGCGGAUGAAGUUUGUUCCCAAGAACGGGAACAAAAAAACAGUUGUGAUUCUGAUGUUGGUAAUAACAUGAGAUGUAUUCAUUAGGUAAUACUACAGAAAAUGUCUUAUUACCAAUAUGUUUCUUCAUAGUGUGAAUUUGAGGUUUGACUUGGAGUUUUGACGUGCUGCAUUUUUCACGCAGUCACUUUGGUUUUGACAUUAAUUUUGUCGAUUUGAUUCUGCUUCAAACAAAAGCUCUAAGAUUUGACCAAGAAUGGGUUUAGAUUUAUUGAAGACAUUUACACAGACACGUCUACUGAAGAAGUGGCAUAACUGUACUGUAGCUAAAUGUACAAUAGUACCAGUAGUUCCACUCCUCUAUUGUAGCUUUGACUUGUCUGUAGUUACAUUUCAAGUUUUUAUACAACAUUUGUUCUUCUUUAAAUGUUCUUUGUUUUUCUGGAAGUCCUGAUGAGAUUUGUACAAGCAGACUUGAAGCAACAGCACAACGUCUUAAUUUACGGAAGCCAACUGUGCGGCUCUUAGCCUCCUCCUACUACUUUGUUAUUGAGUGUGCUCGCUUUCUCCGUCGCCUCCUGGUUUAAUUCCAUUAGCCUGCAAAGAAAGAAAUCUGUGGGGACCCCUCACAUCCUAAGUCCCAUGUUCCAGUGGCUCCCAUCAGGACACAGACUCCCUGAUGCAGGACCCAAAUAGGAGAAACACUGUAAUCCCAGCAGUAGUUAUCCAUCUGAAUGCUGUCCUGUACAAUGACGCUUUUAAUUGAUCUUAUUAGUAAUAUUAAUUUUCCUGGAUGCUUUUCCUUAAUUGGCCUUCAGGGAUAAAUAAUAGAGAGAAAGUGUUUUAAAUUGAAUUGAUCAAUACAUUAUAAAUACCUGAAAUACUUAUGUACACAUUAUUCAAAGAAAUAAAUUAAAAACAAAUCUAUGUUGUGAAGUUCA